GGCAGUAGAUAGCUCAGUGGUAGAGUGCAUGCUUUGUGGGCAUGUCGUCCUGAGUUCAAAUCCCAGCUGUCG